ACAACGGUUUUUUUAAAAACCAUCGCUAACGACUUGAGUUAAUUA
rfam:Glycine max cultivar Williams 82 chromosome 4, whole genome shotgun sequence.